AGGACGAACGCUGGCGGCGUGCCUAACACAUGCAAGUCGAACGGGGCCCAACUGGUGGCAACACCAGGGAAAGCCUAGUGGCGAACGGGUGCGUAACACGUGAGCAACCCACCCCGAAGACCGGGAUAACACCGGGAAACCGGUGCUAAUACCGGAUGCCGUCACCGGAUCGCAUGGUCUGGUGACGAAAGGAUUCCGCUCCGGGACGGGCUCGGCGGCCUAUCAGCUUGUUGGUGGGUAACCGCCUACCAAGGCUUCGACGGGUAGCUGGUCUGAGAGGACGAUCAGCCACACUGGGACUGAGACACGGCCCAGACUCCUACGGGAGGCAGCAGUGGGAAUCUUGCGCAAUGGGCGAAAGCCUGACGCAGCAACGCCGCGUGCGGAAGCGGCUUAGGGUGUAAACCGCUUUCGAGCAGGAACGAAAUGACGUACUGCAGAAGAAGCGUCCGGACUAAGUACGU
rnacentral:rRNA from 1 species